GACGAACGCUGGCGGCGUGCUUAACACAUGCAAGUCGAACGGAAAGGCCCCUUUGGGGGUACUCGAGUGGCGCACGGGUGAGUAACACGUGCGUAACCUGCCCUUGCCUUCGGGAUAACUACAGGAAACUGGGGCUAAUACCGGAUAGGAAUCCUUGCUGCAUGGAGGGGGUUGGAAAGCUUCGGCGGUUUUGGGUGGACUCUCGGCUUAUCAGCUUGCUGGUGGGGUAAUGGUUUACAAAAGCUUUGACGCGAAGCCGCACAGAGAGAGCGACCGGCGACGCUGGGACUGAUGUACGGCCCAGACUCCUACGAGAGGAAGCAGUGGGAAAUAUUGAACCAGGCACGGAAGCCGGAUGCAGCAGCGCCGCGUGCGGGAUAACUGUCUUAGGAUUGGAAACCGAAUUCGGCAGGGGCGAAGCAUGUAGUGACGGUACCUGAGGAAAAAGCACCGGCUAACUACGUG
rnacentral:rRNA from 1 species